rnacentral:lncRNA from 1 species
UAGUUGUUGGAGCGAGCCAUCCAUGAAAACAAGCUUCUGCUUACUACAUAGGAACCUGGAUGGGAUUGAUCUCGAUCUCAUCGGACAUGACAAAUGGUGAGAGGGUGGAGAUUAAUGAGCAAUAGUCUAGCAAUCACUUACUGAGAAAGUAAUAACACCAGUAAAGAAAUCUUGCCAUUUGUGGUAGUAGUGGGAAGAAAAUCUGACAAUAUCUUACCAUAAGGGACC